CCGGCUGAUGAGAAUAAGGCGAAUGUGACUUUGUGCUCUCUGACCCUUGGCUCCUGGGUGGGGGGCAGGUAGGUACAGAUGGGAUCUGAAAUCUUGGUGGGGAAACCUGAGUCCUGGCUCCCUGCUGUAAGGCCAGAUCAAGAGCGCUGCUGGCCUUGCCCUCAUGUCUGCUGCUGCCCCGAGUUCUUGGCAGUAGCCUACAGGGAGGCCCACAGGUAGGGGCCAAAGAUGGGAUGGGCACCAGCCAUGUGAGCACAACCUUGGAUCUGACA
ensembl:snoRNA SCARNA12 small Cajal body-specific RNA 12